UCCUGCAGGGUAGCAGGCCGGAAUCAGUCUCAACCUGUUAUUCGAGGGUUCGUGUUCACGGGUCUGAGGUUUCCUGGAACCUCCUCGGCCUUUCACCGCCUCCUACACGCUUGGAGGAGGCGUGGGACUUGCGUCUGACAGAGACAGGCACUUCCCAGAACCCCAGCGUCACAGCCCUGGGAAAGAGCUGUUCUCCUGUGCCUGUUCCAUUGGAGUGUGAAGUCAUGUGAGAAGGAGAGAAUUGCUGCUGCACAUCAAAAAAUCAAAUUCAAGCACUGAAUAAUAUUCCAUUGUCUGGAGGGACCACAGUUUAUCCAUUCACCUACUGAAAGUCAUCUUGGUUGCUUCUAAGUUUUGGCAAUUAUAAUAAAGCUGCUGUAAACAUCUGUGUGCAGGUUUUUGUGUGAACAUGUUUUCAUCUACUUAAGCAGGGAAGGAACAAUAUUGGUGGAGACAUCUCUGUUUGAUUGGAUAACUGCUUAAAGAAUUAUUAGGUUUACUCUCCAGGUAUAAGACCAAGAAGUUAUCUCCAGAGAAGGACAUUUAUGAAAUCCGUUUAUCCCGAUGGAAGAUAAUAGGAGGAAGUAAAACUCCUUGUCUUAAAGGAUCUAUUUUGAGAAAUGAGUGGCAGAGCAAAACAUUAGAAAAUUCAUACAGGCAAUAAACCCUGUGAAUGUAAGGAAUGUGGGAAAACUUUUAGUGCAUGUGGUCAACUUACCUGUCAGCAGAAAAUUCAUACAGGCAAAAGAAGCCCUGUGAAUGUUAAGGAAUGUGGGAAGGCCUUUAGACUCGAUUUUUACCUCACUGAACACAGAAGAAUACAUACAGGAAGUUCGUAUUAGGAAAUAAACCUGUUAAUGUAACUGUUAACCAAGAAUUCCAAGAACAGAGACCUGGUUGAAGAAAAAAAAAAAGAAAGAAAGGAAAAAAGCGCUUUUAUUUGGGGUUUGUUAGAACUGCAGCCCAAGAAACACAAACCCAAGAAAGUACUCGAAUUGUGUUCUGCUGGACUAUAAAAUGGGGUAGGCUUAAAAAGGUAAAAAACUGCAAAGUUACAUAAGUUGUCAAGAAUUAGGAUGUGAGCUGGCAAGAGGUAAGGUGCUUGUUAAACAAGGAUGCUUUGGGGUUCACAAUGAUUACAUAAUUGUGUCGGGGUGGGAGACUUUUAAACUACAGGGUUGCAACUAGCACCUGCUAGCAGAUACUGUUUUGAAAACAGCUGGUGCUGUCCUUGAGUUUAAUACAAUUCAGAGAAAAUUCAGGUUCUCAGUGAUGCGUGAAUGUGCCUCAGACCAGAUCCUCAGUGUCCGCCAGAUUCCAUUUUUCUAUGCCUGAACUAUGAAUACUGCAUUAUAAUUUCAAUUUGUCAUCAAAAUAAUUGUGGGGAAGUUUUUAAUCAAUGACAUAUACUUAUCAUCAUUGCCUUUACUAUCUAUGUGAUAGUGGGCAACACAUUUACCCUUCUGUGUGUCAUUUGUAAAAUGGUACCCACCUAAAAGUGUGGUUGAUAGUUUAUAACAUGUACAAUAUUUUGCAAAAAGUACCUGGCCAAAAAACUCCUUUGAAUGAA